CUGACUGAGCCACCCAGGCACCCCCACCGUAAGCACUUUAUAAAUACUAGCCACUGCAUUCAUCUGGGAUGUUAGCUAAGACUCCCGAGUUACCAGCGCUGACUUCACUGUUCUUUUUACUGUGGGUCUCUAUUCACAUGGUUAUCACUUGUUCCUUUAAAGGGUAAGCAGAACACUGCUGGCUAUGGGGUGGAGGGUCCUGACACGUCCUGUCAUCUGAAAGGCCACAAGGAAACCCUGUCUGAUUAGGGGCACGCAUUCUGACAGCCAGGCCUCAGCACUCUUGGGUAGAUGCAUCACAUCCCAACUGAUACUGAGAGCCAGGAGCCCCAGUGGGGCCCAGGUUUCACAGCAUCCUGAGCGCUACAAAUCCAAGCAGAAAGUUAGGAACAUGCCAAUCGCUUUCUGUGGGGUUUUCUUCCUCCCGAUCACUAGGGACGUGCAUUGCACAGUCAGGUUUAAUUUCAGUCUUUCAUUGUGUGUCCUCUUUCCUUUACUCCUGCUUUCCCUGUUUUUGUUUCUAUUUCCACUUUUUUUUUUCCCUAAACUGUUCAUUUCCUGGGCUGCUCCUCUGCUUUCUUCUCCCCACACCAAUUCGCCCCCACCUCGUCUCCUCUCUCCCCUCCUUCCUUUCCUUUCUCUCUCUUCCUUUGCGUCUCUCUUGAGACAGGUCUAGUGGCCUGGUUGCCAUCUGCUGCCUUUUUUUUUUUAUGAGGUUGAGAUCAGAUGGCAUCUAAUCGAUCGUCAUGGUCUCCAUGGUUACCAGGGUGACAGAGCACUUGGGAGAGACACAUUCUCCAGCCUGGGGCUGUCAGAUCAUUCCUGUGAGGGGGAAAGAAAAUAAAACCUCUUCCAUCAUAUUCACACAUUUACAUCUUUCCCAAAUGCACCAAAACACAGACCCUGUUUAUGUUUUACAUAGCUACCUACCUAGUGGCUCCAGGCCAGGGAAUGCAGAGUGACUUUUUCUAUUAAAAAAAAAAAAAAACAACAACCCAGAAAACAAAAAACAAAAAACCAGGAAGCACACAAGCACAAGGACUUCACUUCCAGUAAAGAUCUUUUUUUGAACCCCAAAGUACCCCAUGACCCCCAUAGACCCAGAGCAUCAUCUUUUCUUUUUCUUUCCCCUUUUACUGUUUGGACAUUAACUUAGUAAUUCUGAUGAGUUGUCAUUCUUGCAGUAAAUCGUGGAGUAGUUCUAAAAUGAACAGGUGACAACUAUUUGCUUUGGAGAAAGGAACAGCCACUCCCAGAACUAUCUACCCACACUUGAACCUUUGAUUACGAUCAGUGGUGACAUUUGUUGGGAUUUCUUGUUUGGCCGAGAAAUAUUUGUAGCACAGGAAGCCAUUUUCCCCAGGAAGAGCAGUCACAUAGGAUGAACUGUAAACAAAAUAACCCUUCCUAAUACAAAAAAGUGCCGGGCAUGACUGUGGUCUGAAGCGCUUUAAUGCGCAAGGGCGGCCCAUCCGGCAGAGAUUUAGAGAGGCAGCCGGGCCUUAUUAUAAUAGAAUAUGGUGGUGUUGACAGCCCAGGUCUGGUUGAAAAAGACAGGAGACACAUCUUGGUACCAGGUAAGGCUAUAUAUAACGAAUGGAACACUUGCUAGAUUUUUGGAGAAACUCUGAGAAAAGAAAGCAAACAAUCAGCAUAUCAUUAAGUAAUGGUAAAACACACCUUCAGCGUCAGGCACUGAUGACUUGGGGCUAUCGGCUAUUUUACUUCCUCUCCUGGUAAUAUUUGAUGCUUCAUAGCGAUUAUUAGAAACUGUUUCGUUUUCAAUCUUUGUCAGAAGAAAAGAAAAUACCUUAAAAUCAUGGCACAGGUAGAGGGCCUCUGAGCAGUGAUUUUUCAUUUAAGGAAAAACGUCACCCCAAAGAUGGGCCGUACCUCCUUCUCCUUCCUUUGUCUCUGACGUCUCCUCAGACCUCCUCCACCUCCUGUACAGUAUCUUAGUAAGACUCAGAUAUAUUCAUCCGCGGUGCCUUCGGCUGUUAAGCAAAUAUCACACUGAUAUUUGAAAUAGAAAUGAUGCCAUCAAUUGGAGAAGAGACUUUAAUAUAACGGGAAAAUAAUUUCUCAUGAACAUGAACCUUCUUACUCACUUUGCGCCUCUGCCUCUUUGCUAAUGCCUGUCCCCACCCCCUUCUGGCCACUUCUUCCCGCCCUCCCCUCUUUCCUGGCCAUCUCCAUAGCAUGGCCUCAGAACCACUCUGACUUAAGUCCUGUCUCCUCAGAAGAGCUCCCCCCGCACCGCCUCCCCAUGGCACGGAGGCCUGAACCCCUAUUUUCUUAUGGUCUACACCCACUCAGGACUUACCUGUGCUGCCUGUACCCUUGCUGAUAUGUUUGUUACGUGUAUCUUUUGCCUGUCAUUUCAACGGUAAGCUCCAGAAGGGAGAGACCGUGUCUUCUACUUUGGGGCUCUUCCCUGACUUUCUAGGUAGUCAGCCCUCGCUAAAUGUUUGAGAGGGGGUGGUAGCAGCCCGUUGUGCCUACAGUGGCCUAGCCGGCUUUCCUUUGUAAGGCGUUGGUUCUCAGCACGUCUUGACCUGCGCUGAUGUUACUUUGCAUCAGCCGGAGGCUUUCUCUACCUCCUUGUCUCCCUCGCCCAUACUCUUGUGUACAGAGAAGGUGGGUUCCACCUUGGAAUGAAAUGAGUCAUUUGUUCCCAUCAGGACAACUGCCACAGCAUGGUGUCAACUCACUCUUGCCUUUGGUAAAUUGAGUUUGUCAGUGCUCAGCCACACAGCUGAGUGAAGUGUUGUGUGAUGCGAGGCUGUCUCCUGGGAGAGAGAAACUGGCAUAAACCACAUCCUAAUGGGAUCCAGAAACAAAGAAGCGUGAAUGAAGUGUUAAUUGCAUUCAUAAAGACAUUAACAAAGGAAUUAAAAUGGCAGAAGCUUCCGUUCCCCCACUCAAGAUUCACAGAAAAACAUGUUAUCCGAAGAAUGUUUUAACAAUAAUCAUCAAAGUUUAUUGCUUGCCCACCACAGAGAUAACUCUCAAUAAAUAUUAACUUUUCAAAGGACAAACAUUUUUUGUUCAUUAUCUCGAGUGUAUUAACUAGCAGACAGUUGAUUCUAUCCCACCUCCAGUUCUUUUCUUGCCCCUUGCUGCCUUUGUAUGAUUUAAGUUUCCAGAAAAUCAAGAGGCAUUUUCAAUGCUGCUUCAUUAGCCAUAAGGAGGUCUGUUAACAGUUUGAACCUAAUCAAUCCUACAGUUCUUAUUAGAGCAAAAUGCUCAUUAUCUGGAAGCCUUUUUGCUUUUUGAAGUAAAAUUGCAGGACUGGGGGUUUAUUUUACAGUCCUUCGUGAAUAUCUCCGAGAUCAUCUGCAAUGUGGGCAACCUGGGGCUCCCUCCCCCUGUCCUUUGGCAGGGCCCUCAGCUGCAGACAGCCAGGCUAAGCUGGCAAAAGGUCAGAAGGCUGCAUUUGACUGAAGACGGGUCACAUUGAUGAAAAUCAUGCCUGCUUAAUGAAGUCAAGGCCACGGAUUUGGGGCGUUUAUGGUACUUCUCAUUUCACUCAAUUUCACCUUCACAGACCAUAUCACUAAUCCCAGCCAAUCAUCCUGCAUCUAUGUGCAACCGGUGACUGAGGGACAAAAGUCAACGAAUCUCAUCUGGAAAACAGAGACUGGAAAUCUCUGUCUAUACAGAAGUGAAACUAAAAAGUGUGUUCACGUGAUGUGCCUCAUGUAAUUCACACAGAAACUCUAUAAGCCCCAUGGAGCAGACACUCCUACCCUCAUUCUGCAGGAGAAAGGCUGAAUAUUUUUCUUCUGAAUUCCCUUGAUCAGAAUAACUUCUAGUUGCCUAUACAUACAUGACUGAAGACAUGAAGAAGUCUGAUGCUGUAAUUAUCUACUGAUAUUCCAAACACCUAGGUAAUCAUGGGGCGGCCACAGGAAAAAUUGAAAUUGCAUAUUUAAAUAUAACCCUUACGUCAUAUUUCCAUCGCACCGCCCUGCUCUGAAAAUACUGAACACCUGCCCAUUGCAACUGAGCUGAGAAGGCUGGGGUUCUUUCUAGAAGUGCCUUCCUCCCUGCUGGCCUGAGACUAGGGUCUCCUUCAAAGAGCAGCUCCAGGCUCCCGACUCAGGCUCUGAAUGCAGAACAGCCUAUAACCCCCAGCAGCGAAUUUCUCCCUCACCGAGAUGGGAGUGGAAGCCAUGGCACAGCGUGAGAUCCCCCAGAAAAAGAGAGAGUGCACCAAAGUCUCAAGAAGAGAGUGUCUCUAGAAGGUGGGAGUGGCUAACAGCAUUAAAUGCCCACCACCAAGAGGUCAGGUAAGUGGAAAACUGGAAAGUAUCCUUUGGAUGUAAAAGUUACUAGUGCUCAGGGCACCUGGGUGGCUCUGUUGGUUGAGCAUCUGACUCUUGAUUUCGGCUCAGGUCUUGAGCCCAGGGUCAUGGGAUCGAGCCCUGUGUCAGGCUCU